rnacentral:snRNA from 1 species
GUGCUCACUUUAGCAAUACAUAUACUAAAUUUGGAACGAUACAGAGAGAAGAUUAUCCCAGCCACUUUGCAGAGAUGAUACAUAAAUUCGUGGCACAUUCCAUAUUUUU